rnacentral:rRNA from 1 species
UUGAUCAUGGCUCAGGAUGAACGCUAGCGGCAGGCUUAACACAUGCAAGUCGAGGGGUAACAGGGGAGCUUGCUUCCGCUGACGACCGGCGAACGGGUGCGUAACGCGUAUAGAAUCUGCCUUGNACAGGAGGAUAGCCUUUAGAAAUGAAGAUUAAUACUCCAUAAUAUUGAGAAGNGGCAUCGUUUUUUAAUUAAACAUUUAUGGGUACAAGAUGACUAUGCGUCCUAUUAGCUAGAUGGUAAGGUAACGGCUUACCAUGGCAACGAUAGGUAGGGGNUCUGAGAGGAUUAUCCCCCACACUGGUACUGAGACACGGACCAGACUCCUACGGGAGGCAGCAGUGAGGAAUAUUGGUCAAUGGAGGCAACUCUGAACCAGCCAUGCCGCGUGCAGGAUGACUGCCCUAUGGGUUGUAAACUGCUUUUAUACAGGAAGAAACAGUCGUACGUGUACGGCCUUGACGGUACUGUAAGAAUAAGCACCGGCUAACUCCGUGC